AUAUAUAAAACAUGAAGUUCACAAGACCAAAAUAUUAUACAUAGGGUCCAUGGACGCAGUCGAAAGUAAAACAUACAUUCAUAUAUCUUGAAAACGAGUCUUUAGCAAAAGAUGAUCAAUCUACACCAGCUCCUACAGUUCCGCGAGUGCUACGGUCCUCUCUACUGGUCACCUGUAAAAGGAUGUGAGGAGGGAGUGAACUAGUUUCACUCAGUGAGCCAGGGUUCCCUAUCUAGCAUAUACAACUACCCGUCAUUCUAAACCCAACUCCAAACACAAGCAAGACGGGUAGUUCAACAAUCAAUAUUCAAAUAUUAAAUCCUAAAUGAUUAAGCAGUAAACAAUUAAAACAUAAUAAUUCCAAAAACUCUUUAUGAGUGUCAUCACAUGAAUCAACCAUAUAUAUACUUCUAGGGCCCAACAGAAUCAUUCUUCCUCCACAUAAGGGACACCGGCAAUCCUUUCACUAUUACACCACACAGGCGUAGGCGUUCGGGAAUCGCCCGGUCACGGUCUUCAAUCGGAAUCGCCGUGCCCCGGUCCUCUAUCGGACUCGCCGGGGGCUGUCACAUCCACGUGUGACAGUCGGCUUUGGUGAUCAAGCCAAGUUAAACCGAGCCCGCCACUUUCCAGACCACGACCGGCUUAGUGGUACCAUUUGAGGAAGCAAUGACCUGCAAACUACUACUAGAACCACCACGAGGUUCUCACACAACAAUACCAACACGAGGUACACACCAUAACAACAUAUAAUAAUCACAUAAUCACAACAAUCCGGGUGCUUAGACUAGUCUUGCUAUCCGCUUAGCCCAUACAUCGUCUCAAGCCUCAGAUUCACAAACUGACACCUAGACCGGUCCGGCUAUCCUAGCUCGGAAGCCAUCUCUGAUGUCAGGAACCUGCAUUAAAAAUUCGUUAACAAUCAAUUAACCGUGACUCACAGUGAUUAACCGAUGUGGCUCGACUUUUUGAUUCCGGAAGUUGACCAAACCCCUUUUAUCCCCUCCAAUCUUCGUCUUGAUUUCGUACCGUUAAUCCCCAAUAUUGUAACAUGUCUUGCUUUUCCCGGCAAUCCUCUAACACUAUUCUUCUUAUUUUUCUUUUAUUUUCUUUUCUUUUUUUUCCCUUUCUUUUAUUAUUUUCUUCUCCUCCUUUGCCUUUUU
rnacentral:lncRNA from 1 species